rnacentral:rRNA from 1 species
GAGAUCUUAGGUAAAUCCGGGAUCUCAAGGCCGAGAGCUGAUGACGAGUUACCCUCUGGGUGACGAAGUGGUUGAUGCCAUGCUUCCAAGAAAAGCUUCUAAGCUUCAGAUAACCAGGAACCGUACCCCAAACCGACACAGGUGGUUGGGUAGAGAAUACCAAGGCGCUUGAGAGAACUCGGGUGAAGGAACUAGGCAAAAUGGCACCGUAACUUCGGGAGAAGGUGCGCCGGUGAGGGUGAAGCACUUGCUGCGUAAGCCCACGCCGGUCGAAGAUACCAGGCCGCUGCGACUGUUUAUUAAAAACACAGCACUCUGCAAACACGAAAGUGGACGUAUAGGGUGUGACGCCUGCCCGGUGCCGGAAGGUUAAUUGAUGGGGUUAGCUAACGCGAAGCUCUUGAUCGAAGCCCCGGUAAACGGCGGCCGUAACUAUAACGGUCCUAAGGUAGCGAAAUUCCUUGUCGGGUAAGUUCCGACCUGCACGAAUGGCGUAACGAUGGCGGCGCUGUCUCCACCCGAGACUCAGUGAAAUUGAAAUCGCUGUGAAGAUGCAGUGUAUCCGCGGCUAGACGGAAAGACCCCGUGAACCUUUACUAUAGCUUUGCACUGGACUUUGAAUUUGCUUGUGUAGGAUAGGUGGGAGGCUUUGAAGCGUGGACGCCAGUCUGCGUGGAGCCAUCCUUGAAAUACCACCCUGGCAACUUUGAGGUUCUAACUCAGGUCCGUUAUCCGGAUCGAGGACAGUGUAUGGUGGGUAGUUUGACUGGGGCGGUCUCCUCCUAAAGAGUAACGGAGGAGUACGAAGGUGCGCUCAGACCGGUCGGAAAUCGGUCGUAGAGUAUAAAGGCAAAAGCGCGCUUGACUGCGAGACAGACACGUCGAGCAGGUACGAAAGUAGGUCUUAGUGAUCCGGUGGUUCUGUAUGGAAGGGCCAUCGCUCAACGGAUAAAAGGUACUCCGGGGAUAACAGGCUGAUACCGCCCAAGAGUUCAUAUCGACGGCGGUGUUUGGCACCUCGAUGUCGGCUCAUCACAUCCUGGGGCUGAAGCCGGUCCCAAGGGUAUGGCUGUUCGCCAUUUAAAGUGGUACGCGAGCUGGGUUUAGAACGUCGUGAGACAGUUCGGUCCCUAUCUGCCGUGGACGUUUGAGAUUUGAGAGGGGCUGCUCCUAGUACGAGAGGACCGGAGUGGACGAACCUCUGGUGUUCCGGUUGUCACGCCAGUGGCAUUGCCGGGUAGCUAUGUUCGGAAAAGAUAACCGCUGAAAGCAUCUAAGCGGGAAACUUGCCUCAAGAUGAGAUCUCACUGGAGCCUUGAGCUCCCUGAAGGGCCGUCGAAGACUACGACGUUGAUAGGCAGGGUGUGUAAGCGCUGUGAGGCGUUGAGCUAACCUGUACUAAUUGCCCGUGAGGCUUGACCAUAUAACACCCAAGCAAUUUGCU